rnacentral:rRNA from 1 species
UACGGAGGAUCCGAGCGUUAUCCGGAUUUAUUGGGUUUAAAGGGAGCGUAGGUGGAUUGUUAAGUCAGUUGUGAAAGUUUGCGGCUCAACCGUAAAAUUGCAGUUGAAACUGGCAGUCUUGAGUACAGUAGAGGUGGGCGGAAUUCGUGGUGUAGCGGUGAAAUGCAUAGAUAUCACGCAGAACUCCGAUUGCGAAGGCAGCGUACCGGCAUCCAACUGACGCUGAGGCACGAAAGCGUGGGGAUCAAACAGG